rnacentral:tRNA from 1 species
GAAGGUAUAGCUCACUGGCAGAGCAUGUGCCUGGCAUGCACAAGGUCCCGGGUUCAAUCCCAGUCCCUCCA